GAAAUAUUUGGACAUAUAAAAAAGACAACUCUGUUCUGCAGAGUAGCUGUUGACAUUAUAGUUGUGCAGGCACUUUGUUGACUCUAGAGAACCUUGGGCCAAUCACACAUCCCCAUGGUGGCGAAUUUGCAUGCGGAUGUCAUCCAUAUCAACCUUCGAUGACAGAUUCUGUGCCUACCAUGGUGACCAUGGGUAACGGGGAAUCAGGGUUCCAUUCCGUACAGGGACCCUGAGAAAUGGCUACCACAUGCAAGGAAGGCAGCAAGUGCGCAAAUGACCCACUCCCGACGCGAGAAGGUAG